GCCAACUAGUGCCUCACCUGCAUAGAAUUGUAUUGACAACCCUUUGCCAACAAUCUUUAGUACAUUUGGUAGACCUACACAUCUUCUUCAGGCCUUCACCCCGGGCAGCCAGGAGGGACUACAGCAGUGGUAGGGCGCAUCGGACGGGCAGGUGCAAUGGCUGUUGUGAAGGACAGCAUACUAUUUUGGUCUAAUUAAGGAGUCAGACCCUCCAACAUGCCUCGGCACACUCACGGCUGAUACCUCCUGCUGGUCUUCAUGUGUGUCUGGGCGGGCACAGAAGGGCUCUCAAAACGCCAUCAUUCAGAUAUUGUUUUCCCAUCUACCUCGGUGGCCCUCUGGUCGGACGCCCUGAGAACGUCCCACAAAGAUUUACGUCCUCUUCAAUAACUAGACGUUUUGUUCCGGUUUUGGGUUUUGUGGGGGAUUAGCCAUGGGCGGCUAUGGGAAUUGAUUUUUCAUUUGUGGACAAAAGGUUAAAACCGACACUGGCUCAAUGAUAUUGUGACAUUUAUUUAUACAUUUUAUUGACGUUCUUUUUAUCUGUCUGCCAUGAUAUUAUAGCCCCGUUUUUUUUAAAUAUAGAUUAUUAUACAUUUUUACACUCAUAUAUCUCUUUGUAUAUACAGUAUAUAUAUAUUUCAGGUUUAGUUAUUAAGUCACAUGAAUUUGAUUGGUUUGAGUUUGAACAUUAAAAUAAAUGAAUUAUUGACAUAUUGUAUUGCAUUGGGUUGAUGAGAAGUCUUAUUUUGAUUAGUUCAAAUGUCUUUGAGUUUGUCAUUGACAUUGAUUGAAGAAAAAAACACUUUUGUCUUUUUGUCCCAUCCUGUGACCAAAAGUCACAGGAAGUCAUUCCAGUGUUUUGUUACAUUGACACACUUCUGUCCCCACGCUGACCGUCCAUGAAAGCCUCUCCUUGACCCUGCCUGUCUGAACCUGACCUCUGACCUCUCGUCAGCAAGGGAGGCCAAGAGGUCGACAACACUAGGUCAACAAGCUCUCUCUCCUUCAGUUGACUUGUGUUGAUCUGUGAACCAAACUUUUUAUUCGAAUUAGAAUCUUUAAUGUUUUCAGAAAACUCAUUGUUCUUACUCACCAAAAAUAACAAAGCAUUUGGAGAAG